rnacentral:rRNA from 1 species
UGAACGCGAAGAACCUUACCUGGGCUUGACAUGUAAUGAACAACAUGUGAAAGCAUGCGACUCUUCGGAGGCGUUACACAGGUGCUGCAUGGCCGUCGUCAGCUCGUGUCGUGAGAUGUUUGGUUAAGUCCAGCAACGAGCGCAACCCCUGUUGCCAGUUACCAGCACGUGAAGGUGGGGACUCUGGCGAGACUGCCCAGAUCAACUGGGAGGAAGGUGGGGACGACGUCAGGUCAGUAUGGCCCUUAUGCCCAGGGCUGCACACGUGCUACAAUGCCCAGUACAGAGGGGGCCGAAGCCGCGAGGCGGAGGAAAUCCUAAAAACUGGGCCCAGUUCGGACUGUAGGCUGCAACCCGCCUACACGAAGCCGGAAUCGCCAGUAAUGGCGCAUCAGCUACGGCGCCGUGAAUACGUUCCCGGGUCUUGUACACACCG